rnacentral:misc_RNA from 1 species
GUGAGUCAUCGAAUCUUUGAACGCACAUUGCGCCCCCUGGCAUUCCGGGGGGCAUGCCUGUCCGAGCGUCAUUUCUGCCCUCAAGCACGGCUUGUGUGUUGGGUGUGGUCCCCCCGGGGACCUGCCCGAAAGGCAGCGGCGACGUCCGUCUGGUCCUCGAGCGUAUGGGGCUUUGUCACUCGCUCGGGAAGGACCUGCGGGGGUUGGUCACCACCAUAUUUUACCACGGUUGACCUCGGAUCAGGUAGGAGUUACCCGCUGAACUUAAGCAUAUCAAUAAGCGGAGGA